rnacentral:rRNA from 1 species
GGUUAAGUUAGAAAGGGCGCACGGUGGAUGCCUUGGCACUAGGAGCCGAUGAAGGACGGGACGAACACCGAUAUGCUUCGGGGAGCUGUAAGCAAGCUUUGAUCCGGAGAUUUCCGAAUGGGGAAACCCACCACUCGUAAUGGAGUGGUAUCCAUAUCUGAAUACAUAGGAUAUGAGAAGGCAGACCCGGGAACUGAAACAUCUAAGUACCCGGAGGAAGAGAAAGCAAAUGCGAUUCCCUGAGUAGCGGCGAGCGAAACGGGACCAGCCCAAACCAAGAGGCUUGCCUCUUGGGGUUGUAGGACACUCUGUACGGAGUUACAAAGGAACGAGGUAGAUGAAGAGGUCUGGAAAGGCCCGCCAUAGGAGGUAACAGCCCUGUAGUCAAAACUUCGUUCUCUCCUGAGUGGAUCCUGAGUACGGCGGAACACGUGAAAUUCCGUCGGAAUCCGGGAGGACCAUCUCCCAAGGCUAAAUACUCCCUAGUGACCGAUAGUGAACCAGUACCGUGAGGGAAAGGUGAAAAGCACCCCGGAAGGGGAGUGAAAGAGAUCCUGAAACCGUGUGCCUACAAGUAGUCAGAGCCCGUUAACGGGUGAUGGCGUGCCUUUUGUAGAAUGAACCGGCGAGUUACGAUCCCGUGCAAGGUUAAGCAGAAGAUGCGGAGCCGCAGCGAAAGCGAGUCUGAAUAGGGCGAAUUGAGUACGUGGUCGUAGACCCGAAACCAGGUGAUCUACCCAUGUCCAGGGUGAAGUUCAGGUAACACUGAAUGGAGGCCCGAACCCACGCACGUUGAAAAGUGCGGGGAUGAGGUGUGGGUAGGGGUGAAAUGCCAAUCGAACCUGGAGAUAGCUGGUUCUCUCCGAAAUAGCUUUAGGGCUAGCCUCAAGGUAAGAGUCUCGGAGGUAGAGCACUGAUUGGACUAGGGGCCCCUACCGGGUUACCGAAUUCAGUCAAACUCCGAAUGCCGAUGACUUAUCCUUGGGAGUCAGACUGCGAGUGAUAAGAUCCGUAGUCGAAAGGGAAACAGCCCAGACCGCCAGCUAAGGUCCCAAAGUAUACGUUAAGUGGAAAAGGAUGUGGAGUUGCUUAGACAACCAGGAUGUUGGCUUAGAAGCAGCCACCAUUUAAAGAGUGCGUAAUAGCUCACUGGUCGAGUGACUCUGCGCCGAAAAUGUACCGGGGCUAAACGUAUCACCGAAGCUGCGGACUGUUCUUCGAACAGUGGUAGGAGAGCGUUCUAAGGGCUGUGAAGCAAGACCGGAAGGACUUGUGGAGCGCUUAGAAGUGAGAAUGCCGGUAUGAGUAGCGAAAGAGGGGUGAGAAUCCCCUCCACCGAAUGCCUAAGGUUUCCUGAGGAAGGCUCGUCCGCUCAGGGUUAGUCGGGACCUAAGCCGAGGCCGAAAGGCGUAGGCGAUGGAUAACAGGUUGAUAUUCCUGUACCACCUCCUCACCAUUUGAGCAAUGGGGGGACGCAGGAGGAUAGGGUAAGCGCGGUAUUGGAUAUCCGCGUCCAAGCAGUUAGGCUGGGAAAUAGGCAAAUCCGUUUCCCGUGAAGGCUGAGCUGUGAUGGCGAGCGAAUUAUAGUAGCGAAGUUCCUGAUUCCACACUGCCAAGAAAAGCCUCUAGCGAGGUGAGAGGUGCCCGUACCGCAAACCGACACAGGUAGGCGAGGAGAGAAUCCUAAGGUGAUCGAGAGAACUCUCGUUAAGGAACUCGGCAAAAUGACCCCGUAACUUCGGGAGAAGGGGUGCUCUGUUAGGGUGCAAGCCCGAGAGAGCCGCAGUGAAUAGGCCCAGGCGACUGUUUAGCAAAAACACAGGUCUCUGCGAAGCCGUAAGGCGAAGUAUAGGGGCUGACGCCUGCCCGGUGCUGGAAGGUUAAGAGGAGCGCUUAGCGUAAGCGAAGGUGCGAAUUGAAGCCCCAGUAAACGGCGGCCGUAACUAUAACGGUCCUAAGGUAGCGAAAUUCCUUGUCGGGUAAGUUCCGACCCGCACGAAAGGCGCAACGAUCUGGGCACUGUCUCAACGAGAGACUCGGUGAAAUUAUAGUACCUGUGAAGAUGCAGGUUACCCGCGACAGGACGGAAAGACCCCGUGGAGCUUUACUGCAGCCUGAUAUUGAAUGUUGGUACAGCUUGUACAGGAUAGGUAGGAGCCUUGGAAACCGGAGCGCCAGCUUCGGUGGAGGCAUCGGUGGGAUACUACCCUGGCUGUAUUGACCUUCUAACCCGCCGCCCUUAUCGGGCGGGGAGACAGUGUCAGGUGGGCAGUUUGACUGGGGCGGUCGCCUCCUAAAAGGUAACGGAGGCGCCCAAAGGUUCCCUCAGAAUGGUUGGAAAUCAUUCGCAGAGUGUAAAGGCACAAGGGAGCUUGACUGCGAGACCUACAAGUCGAGCAGGGACGAAAGUCGGGCUUAGUGAUCCGGUGGUUCCGCAUGGAAGGGCCAUCGCUCAACGGAUAAAAGCUACCCCGGGGAUAACAGGCUUAUCUCCCCCAAGAGUCCACAUCGACGGGGAGGUUUGGCACCUCGAUGUCGGCUCAUCGCAUCCUGGGGCUGUAGUCGGUCCCAAGGGUUGGGCUGUUCGCCCAUUAAAGCGGUACGCGAGCUGGGUUCAGAACGUCGUGAGACAGUUCGGUCCCUAUCCGUCGCGGGCGCAGGAAAUUUGAGAGGAGCUGUCCUUAGUACGAGAGGACCGGGAUGGACGCACCGCUGGUGUACCAGUUGUUCUGCCAAGGGCAUCGCUGGGUAGCUAUGUGCGGACGGGAUAAGUGCUGAAAGCAUCUAAGCAUGAAGCCCCCCUCAAGAUGAGAUUUCCCAUUCCGCAAGGAAGUAAGAUCCCUGAAAGAUGAUCAGGUUGAUAGGUCUGAGGUGGAAGUGUGGCGACACAUGGAGCUGACAGAUACUAAUCGAUCGAGGACUUAACCAA